rfam:Salmo salar isolate Sally breed double haploid chromosome ssa11, whole genome shotgun sequence.
GUAAGUAAUGUAUGUAAGUCGCUCUGGAUAAGAGCGUCUGCUAAAUGACACAAA